rnacentral:rRNA from 1 species
GACGAACGCUGGCGGCGUGCUUAACACAUGCAAGUCGAACGGAAAGGCCCUGCUUUUGUGGGGUGCUCGAGUGGCGAACGGGUGAGUAACACGUGAGUAACCUGCCCUUGACUUUGGGAUAACUUCAGGAAACUGGGGCUAAUACCGGAUAGGAGCUCCUGCUGCAGGGUGGGGGUUGGAAAGUUUCGGCGGUUGGGGAUGGACUCGCGGCUUAUCAGCUUGUUGGUGGGGUAGUGGCUUACCAAGGCUUUGACGGGUAGCCGGCCUGAGAGGGUGACCGGACAAAUUGGGACUGAGAUACGGCCCAGACUACUACGGGAGGCAGCAGUGGGGAAUAUUGCACAAUGGGCGGAAGCCUGACGCAGCAACGCAGCGUGCGGGAUGACGGCCUUCGGGUUGUAAACCGCUUUCGCCUGUGACGAAGCGUGAGUGACGGUAAUGGGUAAAGAAGCACCGGCUAACUACGUG